UUGCCUAGAGACUAACGCAGGGGUCUUGAAGUCAGGACUAUCAUCCACAUUACAUGGUCAAAGAUAAAUCAAACCCCUACGGGCUAGGUGCAUAUUGGUGGCUGGGGGAGUCUAAAAACUUGGUUCCUUGGAUGGUAAGUACCUGUUUCCAUGAUUGUUUCAUGGUUUCCUGGUCCCAUGCAGCACUGAAAAAGCCACAAGGCUGAGGCUGGGGCUAGGAGCUGCCCAACACUUACAGGAAGGGUGGGACAAAAACUCAUAAAGAAGGAAGGCAGCUUCCAGCGGCCCUUUACAUGAGUAUGUCCCUACUGUUAUAUCCGUCGUCACGCAAGGGGCCUUGCUCACAUUUGGGGCAGCGAGAAGGAGAGCACAGGAAAUCAGACCAAUGAUACCUGUAGGCUGGGAAGCGCUCUCCUGGUGAUUCCCAGCCUGGUUAAAUAAAACCCAUGGAAGGGACCUGGCCAACUAUUGGGCGGGGGGAGGAGAGGAGCGGAAGUUGUAGCCGCAGCUGGAUGAACCUCAUUUGCGGGAGCUAGGACAGGAGGCUUCCCCAUUUGUGGCAGUCCCCAGCCGGAGACGGGGACGAGGCAGCACCUGCCAGGAUGAAUGGUUUGCUCCCCGCCCCCAGGAGGGAGGAGACCUUCCCGCCCCCUCCACUAUCACGUGGGAAAACAAAUGCUGCGGCCGCUGCCCUGCCCUGCUCCUGUGGCCCGGCGGGCGGGCUGCGUGCAGCACCAUGAAGAUGCAUUUCAGCAUCCCCGUCUCGGAGCAGCUGCUGGAGAAGUUCGGGGGCCGCUACGUGCUGUACUCUGUGUACCUGGAAGGCUUCCUCUUCUGCAAGGUGCGCUACAGCCAGCUACACCACUGGAACGAUCAGGUGAGAGACUCCAGCCCAACCCCCUUCUCACUCUCCCUUGCCAGGUUCAGCUAGGGGAACUUCCAUCAAAUGGCCAACAAAUGCUCCAUUGAAAUGAGGAGAGACAAGGUGGGCGAGGGCGUAUCUUUUACUGGACCAACUUCUGUUGGUGAAAGAGAUGAGCUUUUGAGAUGCACAGAGCUCUUCUUCACCUCAUUGAAAUGAAUGCAGGCUGAGAUCCUGUAAUGUUGCCUGUGGAUGGUAAUGAGCUUUUCUUGUGUAGUACUUGAAGUGGGAGGGAGAUACAUAAAGGUCUGGGUGCUGUGGAGUGAGUGUGUUAUUACACACAUUUUUAAGGUGCCCAGCACCGUAGGGAGUGGCAAACUCUGAAGCAAAGCAGAGAAAUAUUGAGAGGAGGGAUGUCGGGAAAUACAAUAUUCUGGAAAUUUAUAUUCGUGCCAAAGAAGAGCUAUUUUUUAAUUUUGGGUAAUGGAGAUGGAAUUUUUUGGCUGUCCCCCAUUUCCUUUGCACUUAAAUAGGUAAUAUGAAGUAUGAAUUGGAGGUGAUUACAAAUCUAAUGCUUCUUUGAUAAACUCUUCACCCUUUAUAAGCAGUUUGAUUUCAUUUUUUCCUCCUACUUUUCCAAUUAUUUUCAUGGCAGUUCUUUGGCUUUUAUUAUGCAUACCCCAGGCAUGCUGGUCUGAGCUAUAUGCAAGAGAUGAGAUAUCUUACCCCCCCCCCCCCCACCACCACCCCUUUUCUUUGCAAAAUAUUUUCCAUUUUUCCCAUAAUACUCCUCAGUGAAGGUUUAAGGUGUUUCCUUAUUGAGACCUGGCAACAUCUGAAAGCUAUGAAAGGGGAAUUGAGUAAUGGUCAUGUACCAGUAUUCAGGGGAACAGGUUUCA